GACGAACGCUGGCGGCGUGCCUAAUACAUGCAAGUUGAGCGCUGAAGGUUGGUACUUGUACCAACUGGAUGAGCAGCGAACGGGUGAGUAACGCGUGGGGAAUCUGCCUUUGAGCGGGGGACAACAUUUGGAAACGAAUGCUAAUACCGCAUAAAAACUUUAAACACAAGUUUUAAGUUUGAAAGAUGCAAUUGCAUCACUCAAAGAUGAUCCCGCGUUGUAUUAGCUAGUUGGUGAGGUAAAGGCUCACCAAGGCGAUGAUACAUAGCCGAACUGAGAGGGUGAGCGGCCACAUUGGGACGGAGACACGGCCCAAAGGGCUACGGGAGGCAGCAGGAGGGAAACGUCGGCAAUGGACGAAAGACUGACCGAGCAACGCCGCGUGAGUGAAGAAGGGUGUCGGGUCGGAAAUGUCUGUUGGUAGAGAAGAACGUGGUUGAGAGUGGAAAGCACAUCAAGUGACGGUAACGACCCAGAAAGGGACGGCUAACUACGUG
rnacentral:rRNA from 1 species